rnacentral:lncRNA from 1 species
UAUAGAUCAUUCCCCUGCAAUUUCACUGCUCAAUUCACUGUCAUUUAGGAGUUAAAUCACUUUGUUUCUGUUUAUGCAGCCCUAGCCACACCUCCCCUGGCUAUGACUGACAGAGCCUGCAUGAAAAAAAAAACUGGUUUCACUUUCAAACAGAUGUAAUUUUCCUUAAAUAAUUGUAUCUCAAUCUCUAAAUUGAACUUUAAUCACAUACAGGAGGCUCUUGUAGGGUCUAGCAAGCUAUUAACAUAGCAGGGGAUAAGAAAAUCUUAAUUAAACAGAACUUGCAAUAAAGAAAGCUUAAAUAGGGCUCUCUUUACAGGAAGUGUUUAUGGAAGGCUGUGCAAGUCACAUGCAGGGAGGUGUGACUAGGGUUCACAAACAAAGGGAUUUAACUCCUAAAUGGCAGAGGAUUGAGCAGUGAGGCUGCAGGGGCAUGUUCUAUACACCAAAACUGCUUCAUUAAGCUAAUGUUGUUCAGGU